CUGCUGCCUUCCGUAGGAGUUUGGGCCGUGUCUCAGUCCCAAUGUGGCCGUCCACCCUCUCAGGCCGGCUACUGAUCGUCGCUUGGUGGCCGUUACCCC
rnacentral:rRNA from 1 species